CGCGGCCUAUCAGCUUGUUGGUGAGGUAACGGCUCACCAAGGCGACGACGGGUAGCCGGCCUGAGAGGGCGACCGGCCACACUGGGACUGAGACACGGCCCAGACUCCUACGGGAGGCAGCAGUGGGGAAUAUUGCACAAUGGGCGAAAGCCUGAUGCAGCAACGCCGCGUGAGGGAUGACGGCCUUCGGGUUGUAAACCUCUUUCAGUAGGGAAGAAGCGAAAGUGACGGUACCUACAGAAGAAGCACCGGCUAACUACGUGCCAGCAGCCGCGGUAAUACGUAGGGUGCGAGCGUUGUCCGGAAUUAUUGGGCGUAAAGAGCUUGUAGGCGGUCUGUCGCGUCUGCUGUGAAAAUCCGGGGCUCAACUCCGGACUUGCGGUGGGUACGGGCAGACUAGAGUGUGGUAGGGGAGACUGGAAUUCCUGGUGUAGCGGUGAAAUGCGCAGAUAUCAGGAGGAACACCGAUGGCGAAGGCAGGUCUCUGGGCCACUACUGACGCUGAGAAGCGAAAGCGUGGGGAGCGAACAGGAUUAGAUACCCUGGUAGUCCACGCCGUAAACGUUGGGAACUAGGUGUGGGUCUCAUUCCACGAGAUCCGCGCCGCAGCUAACGCAUUAAGUUCCCCGCCUGGGGAGUACGGA
rnacentral:rRNA from 1 species